UAAGCCUGUGCACCUUAUUUCGAAUAGGUUUAAACACGGCGACAAACUGACUGGAAAUGCGGCAAAUCUCGGCAAUACUUUGCAUAACAGGCGCGGCGUAUCCCCCACAUGCCGCUCCUGGCAGAACCGGCACUGCCCGAUUCUGUAUCACUCCUAAUGGUCUUGACCCGAAUUUCUCCCCCGGAAUUCGG
rnacentral:sRNA from 1 species